AAAAAAAGGGACUGGCCAUCUCUUGGAUUUAUGUAAGCAUCUUGCAUGUAUUUAACACAAUUGCCUCAUGUUUUAAAGAUAAAUGUAACUAUAUAGUGUAAAAACUACAUGAUAUGCAGAAAGGGUGUAUUAAAUUGUUCAUAUCAUGUUCAGGUGAAGUAAGUCAAUAAGAUAGCAACGUUAAAUCUCGUGAAACCACGCGUGAUUUCAUCUCGCGGGCUUUGGAUCGUGGUUUAAAAAAUGCAUCCAUCUCAGUCAAGUUGAGCAGCCAACUCUACGUUUUUUGGUAUGUCUUGAUUUUUUGAAUUAAUAUUUACCAUAUUUCAGCCAAAUGUAGUUAAACGUCUAAAGUGCCGCCAUGUAACAUGCUAAAAAAGAGCCGUUAGCUUAUUUGCUGUUUUAUCUGUUAUCAAAGAAUUGGCGCUUUUUCAUUUGAAUUUGUCUUUGGCACAAGAGCCGUAAUAUCACAUUAAACCUAAUUACGAGGCACUCAUAACAUAAUUUGGUUUUCUGUGUGAAUAGAUUUGUCAACUGACUCUUCAGUUACAUUGUGUAUUUACUGCACCGUGGUGUUAGUGAGAUUUUGGACAUUGAACAGCUUUAGCUAAUAUCAUCAGCGGUAUUAUGCUAGCUUACAUCCCUACCCCUCCUGCCCUCACCUGCUGUCCUUUUGUUUUUGUUUUUGUUUUUGUUGAUGCACAUUGAGAGACCACAUCUAUUCUGCAUUUCACCAGGAGUCAGCUGAUGGAUUGUGGGUUCAAGGUGUUAUGAUGAAAUGCAGCAUUCCAGUGCAUCCCAACCAUGCCUUUACAGUCAAGGUUUCUGACGGAGCUGAGUUUCUCUCUGACAGUCUGCUGAAAGUGUUUGCAAAGUAAUCGGGGGAACAGGGCACAAAGCUAAAGGAUGUAGCUGCCAUGAUGACAGAUGACAUUAAUGCUCAAAGGGAGUCUCAUCAAAGUGCUCCGCAUCUGUGUGAAAGACAAUUGCAACAUCUUGGUGCAGGAGUUCAUGGACUUGACUGAGGCCACUGCACAGAUUGAGAAAACCACAAUGAACAUCUGUCUCCAGAGGAUGCACCAGGCAAUGACUUUUCUGACGUUGGCAUCAUCAUCGAGGGUAUAGUAGUUCUUCAAGAUCUGGAUAACGUGACCUUUGCAGUAGCCAUGCUGUUUGGACCUUUUUUAUUCCUUCAAUAUGAGUUACCCAUCACAACUCUGCUACACUUUUGAGGUGAUUCAAAGGGUGGUAAUGGAGUUGGAAGCAACUCAGCUCUCAAGAAAAGCUCACAACUAAGACAAAACUGCUCCUGCAACGAAGCUCACUGUUAUGCAUGUGAGGUGACCAGCUCUAGGUGAGAAGACAUUUAAAUCUCACACUUGUUCUGCUGCAUUUUUGAACCUCAAUUCCAGGAACAGAUCGCAGGGUUCAUUUUUAUAUACACUGCAACUGCCAUGAGGACGAGCCGUUUUUUUGUUGUUGUUGUUGUUUGUUUUUCCUUUUGCUCUGUACAAGUUCUCUGUCUGUUUGGCAGCAUUUUUAAAUUUCUCUUUGUAUUUUUUCUUUCUUUUACUAGUGAAGAGAUGUAGCAUGAACAGUUAUGCAGUCUAAAUAUCCCAUAUGGGCCGUGUGAAAUGGUAUUUUCAGUUUCAUUCAGUUGAAGUAAGGAACGUUGAAUAUUUCUAAGUGUGCUGUUUUGAACCAAGAUGUCACAGUAUGAUCAGUGCCGUAAUUUUUGACAGUCACUGUAUCAAUGUUAUUUUUGCAUCUCUUGAAUAAAGGUUUUGACCUGCAAGUGCUAAUUUCUUUAGUUAUUGGGGUAAAAUGGGUAGUGUUAAUAGGAAGGUGUUUGCCAAUUCAGUAACCUAAUUUAAUGUUAAUGGAAACUAACAUUACCUCAAAUUGUUUAGUUAUAAUUGUUGUUUAACUGAAUCUUGACGUUAGAGGCCUUAAAUAGAAUGUUUUGU
ensembl:lncRNA